CACUAGAGUUCGUCUUUUCAAGAUUUAAAAGAUCACAAUAACCCUGAGGCAGUACCCCAAAGGAGUUUCUUACAUGUCGCGUUGAAUGACAUGACUGGGAGAGAGCAUUCGCGUAACCCCUUCAAAUUUCUACGAACGAAAAACCCCUAAAUCUUUAAAAGUCACAUCUAGUGUUUGGUCUGUAUUGUUAUUAAUCUGUGUCUGAAUUACAAGGAAUGCCUGUAUUCGAGUGAGAACAAAAACGAGUAUGCAUCAUUGCAGGAUGACCGGUUGAAGGAUGAAUUGAACCAGGAUUUGGAGCAAGGAUCGUUAUUACUAGGAUGUAUUGUAGCUUUAGGAACCUAUAUCCUGAUUUCUAAGGUUCUGAUUAGUCUAAGGGCCCUGGCUGAAAAUGAAAAUAUUCUAAUGUUAAUAGAAGCAAUUAAAAAGAAAUUUGGCGGAUUUACUGAUAUUGAAAACAGGAAAAUCGAAAACAACAAAAAUGACACUAAAACAGGCAAAAAUGAAGGUGAACGAUGUUUAUUAUUUAAAGUUUUUUAAAGUUUGAACCAAAACUUUUUGAAUUGACUAAAUCCGAUUUGGCCGUACUUUAAAUUUCUAAAUGAAAAUUUGGCAGUAAAGGUGGAAUGGCUAUUGGCUGCCAAAUAAGCGACAAAAAAUCGCUAAUUUGACAGCAAAAAUUGGAUGAAUGCCAAGUAAGCAAUUUUUGUUGAAAAAGAGCUAUUUUUUAUUUCAAAAUUUAGAGCGCGGUUGCUUAAUCCACUUCUUUGUACGGCCAUGGGUAGGCAAAAUUCCAUUAAAACUUUUAAUUCUAAAUUUUUUAAAAACUUUAACGGGACU